ACUGGGAAAUAGCUCGUACUCUCCGAAAUGCAUUUAGGUGCAGCCUCUGUUGUUUUGUUCUAGAGGUAGAGCUACUGAUUGGAUGCGAGGGCUUCACCGCCUAUCAAAUCCGGCCAAACUCCGAAUGCUAGAACAUGAAGACAGGGAGUGAGCCAGCGGGUGCUAAGGUCCGUUGACGAAAGAGGGAGAACUCAGACCAUCAGCUAAGGUCCCCAAUUAUAUGCUAAGUUGGAAUUAAAACGGGGUGGGACUGCUUAGACAGCUAGGAUGUUGGCUUGGAAGCAGCCAUUCAUUUAAAGAGUGCGUAACAGCUCACUAGUCGAGCGGUCCUGCAUGGAUAAUACGCGGGCAUAAGCAUAUAACCGAAGCUAUGGGAUUGUAGAUGAUACAAUCGGUAGGAGAGCAUUCCAUUCAGCGUAGAAGCAGUAUCGUGAGGUAUUGUGGAGCGGAUGGAAAAGCAAAUGUAGGCAUAAGUAACGAUAAUGCGGGUGAGAACCCCGCACGCCGAAAGAUCAAGGAUUCCCCGGCAAUGUCAAUCAUCCGGGGGUAAGUCGGAUCCUAAGGGUAAGCCGAGUGGCGAUCCCGAUGGUAAACAGGUUAAUAUUCCUGUACUGAUCAUAACUGCGAUGCAGCGACGCAGAGGUGACACUGCUGCGUACUGACGGAAUAGUACGUUGAAACCCGUAUUCUUUGAUACCGGUAGUGAAGCACGCCGGUAGAGAUGAAAGGUGAUAGUACCGCAAUGCUUCGGUUGCGCGGAUAAUGCAGGUAAGCUGACUGCCAAGAAAACCUGCUAAGCUUCAGGUAAUGAUCAUCCGUACUGUAAACGGACACACGUGAUCAGGUAGAAAAUACUAAGGCGCUCGAGAGAUUCAUGGUUAAGGAACUAGGCAAAAUGGUCCUGUAACUUCGGGAUAAAGGACGCUCUUGUGAAAGAGCCGCAGAUAAUAGGCCCAGGCGACUGUUUACCAAAAACACAUGGCUAUGCUAAUUCGCAAGAAGAUGUAUAUGGCCUGACACCUGCCCGGUGCCGGAAGGUUAAGAGGAGAGCUCAGAGGCAACUCGAAGGUUUGAAUUGAAGCCCCGGUAAACGGCGGCCGUAACUAUAACGGUCCUAAGGUAGCGAAAUUCCUUGUCGGGUAAGUUCCGACCUGCACGAAUGGUGUAACGAUCUGGGUACUGUCUCAACCAUGAGCUCGGUGAAAUUGUAGUUCCGGUGAAGAUGCCGGAUACCCGCAACGGGACGGAAAGACCCCGUGAACCUUUACUGCAGCUU
rnacentral:rRNA from 1 species